UCCGGUGGUUAUGACGAAGGGGUUCCACCUGUUCCCAUACCGAACACAGAAGUUAAGCCCUUCAGUGCCGAUGGUACUUGACUGGUAACGGUCCGGGAGAGUAGGUCGCCGCCGGAU
rnacentral:rRNA from 1 species